rnacentral:lncRNA from 1 species
UCAGCGUGUGGUGCUUGUGUAGUUUGUGUGUGUGUGCACCUUGGGGGAGAGAGCGGGGGUCUUCUGGGCCAGUCGGCGGGCCGGGGAGACAGUCCUGUUUUUGAAGCAGCCAUAAUGUUCCUCCCUCCCCAGCCCCCAAAUUUGUUUCAGCCCAGUGGUUCCCUCCACUGACCUGGACGUAACGAUUGUAUUCUUCAUAAAUAGAACACCCCCCCCACCACCCCCGAUUCCCAGCCCACCCCCGACAUGAACCGCCCUCUGCUCAUUAAGGGCUCUAAAAACACUUCUCUGUGGGAAGACGCCUGGGCCCCUUCACAGGCCCCAAUUGUCACAAGUCCCUCUGUCCAUCUCUGAAAAUGCUGAAGCUUUGAUGAGGCAUAGGGGUGGGGGGAGGUGGGGAAGGAUAUCAUCUUCCCUGGAUCCCCAAUAUUUGGGUUCUAUCCGGUAAAAUGUUUUUCCGGGCAUCGGAGGGAGAGAAAAUGGACCUUUUCUGCUUCUGCUUCCAGGCUGAUUUCAGCUGCGGGCAGAGGUUCAAGCACAGUGGGUGUGGCCUGCCCCAGCUCGCCUCCCUCUUCAGUCCCCGUGUCCCCAGUGGGAGGGGAGCCAAGAGGAUUUCAGGGUCUUGACGCCCUGACUGCUCUGGAGUCGAAGUAAAAAGAUUCCCAGGAUGUAAGCAACACGGGAACUGGUGAGUGACCGUGUGUUUGGCGAAGGUCGGGGCCUCCACUGGAUUUCAGGAAGGGAAGGGGGAUGGAAGGGAGGCG